rnacentral:rRNA from 1 species
UACGAAGGGUGCAAGCGUUACUCGGAAUUACUGGGCGUAAAGCGUGCGUAGGUGGUUUGUUAAGUCUGUCGUGAAAUCCCCGGGCUCAACCUGGGAAUGGCGAUGGAUACUGGCAAGCUAGAGUGAGGUAGAGGAGAGUGGAAUUCCCGGUGUAGCAGUGAAAUGCGUAGAGAUCGGGAGGAACAUCAGUUGCGAAGGCGGCUCUCUGGACCAUCACUGACACUGAGGCGCGAAAGCGUGGGGAGCAAACAGG